AACGAACGCUGGCGGCGUGCCUAACACAUGCAAGUCUGACGGGAAAGUUCCCUUCGGGGAGUGAGUACCGUGGCGAACGGGUGAGUAACACGUGGGCAAUCUGCCCUCGGGACUGGGAUAACCUUGCGAAAGCGAGGCUAAUACCGGGUAAGCUCACGUCCCGCAUGCGGGACGUGGGAAAAGGUGGCCUCUUCUUGAAAGCUACCGCCUGAGGAUGAGCCCGCGGCCUAUUAGCUUGUUGGUAGGGUAACGGCCUACCAAGGCAACGAUGGGUAGCCGGCCUGAGAGGGUGUACGGCCACACUGGCACUGAGACACGGGCCAGACUCCUACGGGAGGCAGCAGUGGGGAAUAUUGCCCAAUGGACGAAAGUCUGAGGCAGCAACGCCGCGUGCGCGAUGAAGGCCUUCGGGUUGUAAAGCGCUUUUCUGGGGGACGAGAAAGGACGGUACCCCAGGAAUAAGUCUCGGCUAACUACGUG
rnacentral:rRNA from 1 species